CGGGUGAGUAACGCGUAUGCAACCUGCCGUCUACUCUUGGACAGCCUUCUGAAAGGAAGAUUAAUACAAGAUGGCAUCAUGAGUCCGCAUGUUCACAUGAUUAAAGGUAUUCCGGUAGACGAUGGGGAUGCGUUCCAUUAGAUAGUAGGCGGGGUAACGGCCCACCUAGUCUUCGAUGGAUAGGGGUUCUGAGAGGAAGGUCCCCCACAUUGGAACUGAGACACGGUCCAA
rnacentral:rRNA from 1 species